rnacentral:lncRNA from 1 species
CACAGCAUGCCAAGCCAAGCAUCACGCUCUGCCCUCUCUCCCCUCACAGCGCUGCGCAGCUGCUUCCAGAGAAGCAGAAGAGCAGCCUCCUGUACGCCUGCAUCAGCAGCGUCUUUCACCUCCCUCGCCACGAGGACACAGAGGACCCGGACACUGCACUCUACACGGAGGUGCGCAAAGGCUGGGCCCUGGAGACGCUUCCUGGGCACCGCCACCUGGGAUGCCUCUCUGCUGCGAGCAGGAUGCAGCAGGGAAGGCCGCCCUGACCCCUGUCCUCCUUGCAGACCAUGGAAGCCCUGCACCGCCUGCUGCAGGGGCUGGUGGGCAGGGCCGGCGCCUCUGUCCUCAUGGAGCUGCAGAACAUCUUGGAGCUCCUGCUGCCCUUCACCAUGUGCCAGCUGGCAGCCGUGGAGGAGAGGGCCGUGGCGUGCAUUGCUAGGCUGCUCACCUUCACCAACACCUGCUGCUUGCCUGAGAUGUGCUGCUGCCUCAUAGGAGUCACGGUGUUCCAGCACAAGUGCAAGGAGAACCAACGCUUCCCCAUGCUGGGGAAGCUGGCCGCACACCUCAUCCUGUGCUGCACCUCCACGGAUGAGGCGACCAGAGAUGAGGCGAUGAAGGCUGUCCAUCAGCUUUUCAUCUUCAUCACCAGCCCAAGUGAGAGGAGUUGUGAUGGGCU